rnacentral:snRNA from 1 species
UUGUGGGCUAUCUGGCUGCAACAUCUGUCACAUCAUUAAUCACCAGAAUUGAUUUGGCUGAUCUGGCUGGCUUGGCAGGUUACCUCUUCCUCCCUCAAUGCUCCACAUGAGUCCCUCCUGAAUCUUCAUGCUCAGUCAAAGAGGACGACUGUUCAGUUGAAGAAGAGGAUGUCCUUCCUUGAUAGAGGAGGACUGGUAUAUGAGUAGCUGUGCUCCUGUGCUAGAACCUCUAAACAAGCUCUCAAGGUCCACUUGAACACCUCAUUAAAAAUAUUUUAUUAUUUCUGUUUUAUGUGUAUGAGU